rnacentral:misc_RNA from 1 species
AGAACACGCGCGAGACGGUGGCGAGCGUGAUCCGCCUCGUCACCUGGCAGUACCGCUGGUACAGCGAGUUCUCGCCCGAGCUGCUCUACACGAUCCGCACGCUGAUCGAGGACGAAGGCGCCGUCAAGGUCCGGAGCAUCAUCCAGGCCACCAGCCUGCCCCAAAAUGUGCUGGACCUGACGCACCACUACGCCGCUCUGUGCCA